GCCUCACGACGGGGUCGUGGCCAGGCGGGAGCGGGUGAGGGCCGCAGUGGGCGCCCUGCCUCGCUGAGGGGGCCCGGGGGCUCCUCAGGGCUCCCUUGGGUGCCCAGGCCUCGUCCCCAUCUCCUCAGGGCUCCAGCCGCCCUUAGCCCUUCCCACACCUGCUGUCCUGCUCGGCCCGCUUCCAGGCAUGCGGCCGUGCCUUGGCUUUGAGCCGCGAGCGGCUGUGACUCUUUACAAGGCUUUAAUAUAUCUUCAGCUGAUGUACGGCUUGAAGCUCAAUAAGUUUGCUGGGAAGAGGUCAUUCCCGAGGAGCGGUCAGAGGCUGGGCUUCGCGCAUCGCCAGGCAGCCAGCUCCCUCCAGCCUCUCCGGGCUGGUGUGCCGGCAGUGGCAUGCUGAGCGGGCUCGGCUCCAAGGCAGAGCUGCUGCCGGGCAGAAGGGAGAGCUGCUUCUUCCUCUGGGGUCAGAGCGAGCAGCAGAGCUGCAAGAUCGUGGACGGCAGCGCCUGGCAGGGACUGCCUCGCCUGCCCCGCUGCCCUGAUCUUUUCUGGCUGGAGCAGGGUGAAGGUGAGCAAGAGAUGUCCAAGAGAAGAAGCCACUUUCUGAAGCCAUUCUGUACAUAGGUUUGUACUAAAAGCACUAAGGGACUGAAAUCAUAAUACAGCUAAAUGGAUUUUGAAAUCAGCUUCCUGUUGGGGGGGAAAAAAAAAAAAAGGAAAAUGCUGGUCCCUCUCUCUAACAGGGUGGUAAGUACAGAGAAGUCACUUGCAUGAUUGGCAGCAGCCAUAGCAAAAUGACAUUCUGUUUGGUAAUUGGGAGUAGUUAGUCAUGUGCAUCUGCUGUCAGGAAACCCACAAAUACAGAAAGCAGAUACAGUUUGAAUCAGUCUUAAUUUUUUUCUGUGAUGUGCCAGUCUAGCAUAGUUAGGUGAAACUGUUGGCAAGUUCCUGUCCAUACACAGAUGAUGCUUUUCUGGGGGGUGCAUCUUAAGCAAUUCCUUGGGUCACAAGGUUCCUGUUUCCCCUUCAUCUGCUUGCACAGGCUGGGCUUGGAAGAAGGUCCUGCUCUGCCCUUGAUGCUGUUUGCACACUCCUCAGAUUACUUGUGACUCUUGUCAGCAUGGUAAAAAACUGUUUGCAUGUUCCUUUUGCUGCCGUGGAUGUCAGAGCACUGUGAAAGAUGAACAAAUGGUUUGUAAGAUCUCUGCCACUUUCUAAUUUAGGAAUAAGAGAAGUCUUGAGGCUGGUUUCACACUUGGGGCUUGUCUUUUUGCUGUCAAAUAAAUAUUUCUUGUCCUGAAAGAAAAUAAGAUAAAAAUAACUUCAAACACAGCUCCUUUUUCUACAGCCUUUUUGCAGACAAAGGUGUUAUAAUUGAGAGAACAUAUCUGUCUGUGUAAGAAUGGAAAGAUUCUAAUAGGCAUUUAAGCUGUGUGGUGUCCUAUGUAUUUCUGGUGUGUGUACAUAAAACUGGGUACAGGGAAUGUAGUACAUAUCCUGCAGUCUUCAGGGGCACCUAGAAAUUUGUGAUUCUGCAUUGCCUUUGUCUCAUUUUCUGUUACUGGUGCUGCAUAUCAUAAUUCAAAGUUACAAAUGUUGAGGUGAAGUAGAGGAUAACAUAGUAAUUGGUAAUCAAAAUGAAAGAGGAAACAAAAGAAAAGGCCAAUAAUGCAAGGCAAUCAUUAACUGCCAAAUAUAAUUUGUCAAAGGUGUUCCUUCUAAAUUAGAUGGUGGCAGCAUUUUACCAGAUCAAUAUUCCCUUAGUGACUCCAGUGCAGUCUUGGUAGUUUUUGGCUAACAAAUACGAAGAAUUGUGGUAUGUCCUAUGUUUAAAUUACAAAACCAAAAACUUGGUGAAUUAGUAACCCUUAAGUGUGAUCAGAAAUCCCUGUAAGACUGGGAUUGGCAGUGUCCAAGGUUUGGAACCGUUGUGCAUCAAAGCUAUUGCUUGGUUAUGAAGCUAGCCUUGUAGAUCAGUCACAACCAGAAGAGCAACGCUCAACAGCAAACUGAGCUCGGUAGUAAAUAUUACAGCUCAAGGAACACAUGCCCCAGUGCUUGGUGAUGUUAGUGGGAAAACAUCUAUUGACUUCAUUUGGAGUUUGAGCUGCUUGUGAAAAUAAGUACAUUAAGUAUUUAACCCGGGUGUUCUUGCCCAUCUUUUUCUGCACAUCUUACCUAGCCUCAUUCAUUUAAUUAACAACAUAAUGUGUCCUUGCUGCAACUUAACAGUAUAAUAUAUUCUAAUUCAAUUUUAUUGUGGUGCAGCUGUAUUUCCAAUGCUGUGUUUUAUUUCAAAAUAGAAGGUAGGAAUUGAGAAAUUCGAUGUCGUGCAAUAGAGUGGCAACCUUCUAAUAGGUAAUAGCAUUUCAGUUACAUUUUCAGAGGAGGAACACUAAUCUAGAUAUUUGCUGUAUCAUAGUAACCUGUUGACAAAAGCAAGCAUCUCUUUGUUUCUUAACUGGCUUUCGUUAGUGCAAUAGGAGUCCCAGACUUACUCAUCUGUGGAGAUGAAUAAGCAACCUUUAAAAAAUUUGUCCCAGGUCCAAAGAAACCCAGGCCCUGUGUUCUUUGGCCUAGAACCCAGGCAUCUGGAGUCAUAGCCAGCACAACUUACCUUUGAGACCAGCCUAAGUGUGCCUCUUCAAUGUCUCCUUGAAGGAAAGACUCGUAUGUAUGCACACGCACGCACCUAUGCGUCUGGUAACUCCACACCUUGCUGAACGCAUGCCUGUGGUAGGAAGGUGCAUCACAGCUGCAUUCUUCAGACGAAUAUGCAAAUUUUUGCUGCAACAGUUGAAUAUAACCUGACAAUUCUUCUCUUCAGUGUCUUGGGUUAAUUCUAUCUCUGGUUGAGUUUAGAAUCCCCAAAUGGUUAUGUUAUAGGUAAAAGAUAUCUGAUAAUUUAAUAGGUAUUUUAUGUUGUUUUUUUUUUCUUUAAAGCUAUAUUAAUGUCAUUUCUUAGGUGUCAUUGCCACCUCUUCAGUCCAUUGUGAAUCAUGCGCACACAACAGAGAAAGAACAGAACCCACCGCAGCCCAUGAACGGCUCUGAGCUGAACAACUGCCCUGCAAGAAUAUAGGAGAAGUUUAGGCACUGAAUUCUAAAGCAAAAAUCCUAAUAACAUCCUUUAACGUCACAUCUAAGCCAUUGGGGGGAUCCCACAAGAACCUCCUUGACUCUCAGGUUAGUACCUUAGAUUUUGGCCAGCAAAGCUCCCCAGGCACUUGAAGUGAUGUUUUUUCCUCCAAAGUAUGCUCAAGUCUUUACAGAGCUUGAGUACCUUGGCAUCUAACCCUGUACUGGCCUGACCAAGCCCCAUAAUAUGCUUUAUUGCCCAGUUCUCCUAUAGCAAAGUAGUAACCUCCCAUACACUGGAACCACUAGCCAUAUGUCAAGGAACUUGAGCUGUUGGUUUUGAGACUAGCACUGGGAAUAGCCCAUUGUGUCUAAUUUAGUCUGUUUGCCUGCCUCUGGGAGAACAGCUCAGCAGCAGCAGUGGUUGUGCUCUGUUGUUCUUGGGGGUCCCUUUGUGAGACAAGUAACAUGGUAUGGAACAGUUACAGCAAAUAAGGCCUAUGUUUGGAAAAGCUGGGAGAAUCUGUUUGGUUUUCGUACUCUGAUUCUGAAGGACUGCAGAAACCAAGAAAAUCUUCACUGCAGAGGAAAAGAACCUCAAGUGUGGCAGGCUGAAAUGUGCCGGGCUGUUUUAGCUACUCUUCCCUGAGCCUUCUUCAGGAGACAGGUUACUGUCCCAGAAGGGGUAAUGUGUCCCACAGCUGUAAUGUAAUACUGUACGGCAGAGGUAGCAAGCUGGCUCUCGCUUGUAAGCAGAUGUGCUUAGAUUCCUGGCUCUAAAUAGAAAUAAGAGGGCGUGAAUGCUUUGACACACUUUCACCUGAUUUGGCAUACUGUAUGAUUACAGCGUGGUACAUCCUCCAGAGGAAAUCCAAAAUACACCUUCCUGUACAGGCACAAAUCUGACUGUUUGGGUGAUAAACUGUUCACAUGGAAAGACACGAUUUGCAUGGUUGUCAUCAAAGCCAGUGUGUGUAUUCAUUAGUGGAAGCAUGUCAGAUAGCGUAUGUCAGUAAGAUGCCUUUGAUAUGUUGGUGUCUGGAUAAUCUUUUUGACCAGCUGAAUGGCAUAUGUUUAAAUGUAAACAUCUGUUCUGUAUUUGUACUGUCUGUAUUCUUUAUAUUUUCCCUUGGUUAAGAGUUUGAUUAAAACCCAGGAAAAAAUUGAGAUUCAUCCCAUUUUUAAAGAAACACAGCUUUUGUAUUAUUUCAACGUGUAGCCAGUAUGUUUGUUUUCCUAUAUGGGGAAGGCAUUUAAAAGAGGAUUUUUCUUUUCCAUAACCAAAACAAACUCGGUUUCCAGGCAAAAUAAAGAAAUUGAUUUGGCUCUAAGUGUGUUAACUGAAAAGAAUGUUGUCCCUGUAAGAGGGGUGAGUUCCGUAGUAAUGACAGUAUAAUGGUUUUAUCCAGAAAGUUUUCUGAUGCAGUUAAAGAACUUGCAGUGUAAUUAAUGACUUAAUAAAGGAAUGAAAU